UACGGGGGGGGCAAGCGGUUGUUCGGAAUUACUGGGCGUAAAGGGCUCGUAGGUGGCCAACUAAGUCAGACGUGAAAUCCCUCGGCUUAACCGGGGAACUGCGUCUGAUACUGGAUGGCUUGAGAUUGGGAGAGGGAUGCGGAAUUCCGAAGGUGUAGCGGUGAAAUGCGUAGAUAUCUGGAGGAACACCGGUGGCGAAGGCGGCAUCCUGGACCAACACUGACACUGAGGAGCGAAAGCCAGGGGAGCAAACAGG
rnacentral:rRNA from 1 species